AGUGAACGCUGGCGGUAGGCCUAACACAUGCAAGUCGAACGGCAGCACAGUAAGAGCUUGCUCUUACGGGUGGCGAGUGGCGGACGGGUGAGGAAUACAUCGGAAUCUACUUUUUCGUGGGGGAUAACGUAGGGAAACUUACGCUAAUACCGCAUACGACCUACGGGUGAAAGCAGGGGAUCUUCGGACCUUGCGCGAUUGAAUGAGCCGAUGUCGGAUUAGCUAGUUGGCGGGGUAAAGGCCCACCAAGGCGACGAUCCGUAGCUGGUCUGAGAGGAUGAUCAGCCACACUGGAACUGAGACACGGUCCAGACUCCUACGGGAGGCAGCAGUGGGGAAUAUUGGACAAUGGGCGCAAGCCUGAUCCAGCCAUACCGCGUGGGUGAAGAAGGCCUUCGGGUUGUAAAGCCCUUUUGUUGGGAAAGAAAAGCAGCAGGUUAAUACCCCGCUGUCCUGACGGUACCCAAAGAAUAAGCACCGGCUAACUUUGUG
rnacentral:rRNA from 1 species